GUGUUUCCUCUCUGGCCAUUGCCAUCCGCCCAAAUCUACAGACAUCCCGCAUGUUCCCGGGCUCGUCUCCCCAAUACAGGGCACCAAGGCUGUAGACUGCGCAGCCCUCCUGGAGACAGAUGGAAGCUCCUUGGGUCGACAGAUUACAGCUUCUGGAACCCCCUACUCCCUUCAACUCCGAGAUGGACACCCACUGUCCAGGGAGAGGAUGCCUGGAAAUAACAGCUGGGAUCUACAGUGGCCAAAGAGUUGUCUCCGUCUUGCUACAUCGACAAACUGGUGCUCCUGAGUGAGGAUUGUGCCCUGGGAUGGGGGAUUCAGUUUCUUCAUUUAUAGUUGGAAGUGGGUGAAGUGCCAGGAGCGACGGUACACUCCAGAGUGCUGUGCCCUGAUGGGCCUUUGAGUGGCCAGUGCAGUGGAUCAUCAGCCCUGUCUCCCAAGAGCUCCAGUCCCUUCUCCGGAGAGGAAGUGGGUCCACUGGCAGCUCAGGAGGCCAUAGCAGAUUGUGGGGCUCUGUGCAGUUGAUGUUAGUUAACCACUGGAUCCACGUGUUCACCGUGGCUUGCGCCCCUGCAUCCGAAAGUGAUCUUGGCUGCCGUGUCCUGGUCAUUGGUAGUGCAGGGAAAGGAUGCGGAAAGACGGGCUCCGAGCUCGGGGCGUCUGGCCUGGAGCUUUCCUACACUUGUGUCUUGCUCUGCAGCCUUACGGAAGUGUGGGUGGCGCUUUCUGGAAGCUGCACAAGUCAGUGCUGGGUCUUCGCAACUUGGUGUUCUGUUUCCAGAAACUUGGGGUGUUUGCAUGUGCUAGGAUUGUCACGUGUGCUCAACAGUCCUCCUCGGCUUUCCAGAAGAGGCUGGAACAGGGCCCUUGAAGAUGUUUGUGGACAUCAGAGGGCCAAAGACGACACAAAGUGAAACUGGAGACACCGCCCCCCCUUGGCAUCAUGAAACUGCCGAUGUUACUGGCUCAUGCAUGGGAGACACCAGCAUACAAAGUCUUGACACCAACACCUCAGAGGGCUGUGUUCUGUCCCCGUGACCAUCAUCUAGUGCCUGGAAAGACUAGUGACAAGAACUUGUUGCCAACUUCCUAUUACCUCCCUAACAGUUGUGCAAUAAACCCCAUAGGU
rnacentral:lncRNA from 1 species